rnacentral:rRNA from 1 species
GACGAACGCUGGCGGCGCGCCUAACACAUGCAAGUCGAGCGAGAACCCGAGAAGGGGUAACCCUUCUCGGGGGAGAGCGGCGAACGGGUGAGUAACACGUGGGCAACCUGCCCCAGACUCUGGGAUAACUCCGGGAAACCGGGGCUAAUACCGGAUACUCUCGGCGGACCGCAUGAUCUGUCGAGGAAAGCCUUCACGGUCUGGGAUGGGCCCGCGGCCUAUCAGCUUGUUGGCGGGGUAACGGCCCACCAAGGCGACGACGGGUAGCUGGUCUGAGAGGACGGCCAGCCACACUGGGACUGAGACACGGCCCAGACUCCUACGGGAGGCAGCAGUGGGGAAUCUUGCGCAAUGGGCGAAAGCCUGACGCAGCGACGCCGCGUGGGGGAUGAAGGCCCUCGGGUUGUAAACCCCUUUCGGCAGGGACGAAGCGAAAGUGACGGUACCUGCAGAAGAAGCUCCGGCUAACUACGUGCCAGCAGCCGCCGUAACAC